rnacentral:rRNA from 1 species
GGCUCAGGAUGAACGCUGGCGGCGUGCUUAACACAUGCAAGUCGAACGAUGAACCUCACUUGUGGGGGGAUUAGUGGCGAACGGGUGAGUAACACGUGAGUAACCUGCCCUUGACUCUGGGAUAAGCCUGGGAAACCGGGUCUAAUACUGGAUACGACCUUCUGGCGCAUGCCAUGUUGGUGGAAAGCUUUUGUGGUUUUGGAUGGACUCGCGGCCUAUCAGCUUGUUGGUGGGGUAAUGGCCUACCAAGGCGACGACGGGUAGCCGGCCUGAGAGGGUGACCGGCCACACUGGGACUGAGACACGGCCCAGACUCCUACGGGAGGCAGCAGUGGGGAAUAUUGCACAAUGGGCGCAAGCCUGAUGCAGCGACGCCGCGUGAGGGAUGAAGGCCUUCGGGUUGUAAACCUCUUUCAGUAGGGAAGAAGCUGGCCUUUCGGGGUUGGUGACGGUACCUGCAGAAGAAGCGCCGGCUAACUACGUGCCAGCAGCCGCGGUAAUACGUAGGGCGCAAGCGUUAUCCGGAAUUAUUGGGCGUAAAGAGCUCGUAGGCGGUUUGUCGCGUCUGCCGUGAAAGUCCGGGGCUUAACUCCGGAUCUGCGGUGGGUACGGGCAGACUAGAGUGCAGUAGGGGAGACUGGAAUUCCUGGUGUAGCGGUGAAAUGCGCAGAUAUCAGGAGGAACACCGAUGGCGAAGGCAGGUCUCUGGGCUGUAACUGACGCUGAGGAGCGAAAGCAUGGGGAGCGAACAGGAUUAGAUACCCUGGUAGUCCAUGCCGUAAACGUUGGGCACUAGGUGUGGGGGACAUUCCACGUUUUCCGCGCCGUAGCUAACGCAUUAA